CACGAACUUAGAGAAACAGUCAUCUCUAUCCUGGAGGAGGCCUACCCUGGUUUUGUGACAAAACAGUUUUGCUGAAUGUGCUGCAAGCACGAGCCAUGCGGAAAGCUGCAAAGGAGAAAGAAGAGAAUGGGGAGAGCAGCUGGCUUCCGCACUGAGGGAGAACCCAGCCAGGAAUGGCAACAUCAGUGACUGCCCGGGCUUUUGUGUGCAGGCUGAUGCCUCGCCUGGCGUAGGAUGCUCACCAGGGCUCAACAUCGCUUUCACAGCACAUUAAUAAAAGAGCUGAUGGUU